GUGCAAAUUAGGGCUAACUGCAGGUGUGUCAGUGUAGAGGUAGAUAGGCGGGUUCAUUAUCACAGCAGGUGGAAGUCACAGAUUCCACCACAUACUGGACUGAGAAAGGAGCAAAUGGAGUUUUCCUGGACCCUGUGAACAAUUGAUUUCCCCUGCCUGCCCACUGUCUUCAGCUGAAAUGAUGAUACCUGUUACAGCCUCCAACCUGAAACCCACCCAUGCACAGCCUUCCUGUGGCAACAUCUGAUUGUCACUGGACCCCAAACUGUCAGAGGACCUCAAACCAGCCCCUC